CCUAAGCAAUUUCAUGCUAAUCACCUGUUUCUAAUUCAAAGUAUAGGAUGUGCAUAUGGAUUUUAGUGUCGAUUGAUAAGUAGAUGAUCGUCUGACGGUCUGAAGAGUUGAGAUUGCGUGUUUAAGCUUGCCAACAAUUUCUCUCGUAAAGGAGAUGGUCUUUUACUUGUAUGGCUUUAUUUGUUUAAUGCUCCUUGAUAUCAAUUUGUCUCUACAAAUU
rnacentral:lncRNA from 1 species